GUAGCAGAUAUGCUCUCUAUAUUAUUCAUGUAAUUGGUCAUAGUGGCUCCCCACUUUUCUUUGACAACCUUUACUAGUUCUAUGUGUUUAGUCUUGUUCUCACUGAGCUUUAUAAGCCUUCCUGUUUUAAAGUUCUGUGGUAUCAAAAUAAAGCCUUGAGUAUCUUAUUUAUUAGAUAUAAAUGAAGCCAAAGUAGAACGUAAUUUAAAACCUCCUAUAGAAAGCUAAACCCAAGGGUUCCCUCUUUCAAUAAUUGACUGACUUUGGGAUUGAGUGUUAUUUGUCUAGCUUCUGUUAAAGAUGUGAUCAAUUCUCUUUUUUCCUAUAACUUCUAUUUGGGAUUUAAAAAUAUGAGCUACAAUGUACUCUGCCUUUUUUUGAGGAUUCUUUAUCAAUCUUAGGUUGUAAUUUACAUCUUUAAAUGUGCAAAAAAAUUUCUACCAACUUUGAAAAUAGCAGAUUUGGAUGCCCUGUUCUUUGAUGUAUGCCUUUUUUGUAUUGUGAUAUUGACAUAAAUUCUCGGGAUUUGUGUUUAUUGUAUGAUUUUUAGGUUUGCUCAGAUAUAAAUAAGCCAAAUGGACAAUUUAUUUGCCAAAUGAUCGAAUUUUUAUCAUGACUUUCAUAUCUUCCCUCCCAAUAAGAAAGAUUGGAGGCAUUGGCAAGGUUACUGAGCAUAUCCUAAGGACUUCUUUUGAGAUUGAUACAUGCAAAGAUUUACUCGACAAAGGCGUUUUUCUAUGUGCAUUGUUUUCUCCUUCAUCUGCAAGUUGAUUACCUUGUUGUUUUUCUUCUACUUGAAUCAGUAUAUAAUUGUGCAGUGCCCUUAACUUUUGCUUAAUGAUUUAGUUGCAUUGUAGCCUAGUAGCUUGUGUCCUUUUAGGUAUUUUUUCUCUUCUGUGUUUUUCUUUUUUUCCCUGGUACAUGAAGGCAUUUCAACUUGCAUUUUUCAUCUAUGUAGCAGAAUUUGAGUAGGGCAUCAUCAGUUUUUAAACAAAAGUGUCUAGUUGUCAUUAAACCUAUAGUGGUUAGUUAUCCAUAGUCCUGGCCACUUACAUUUUCUCCGGGUACAUCACAUAGCAAUUUAACCAAAUACCAAAAGAUUUUUAUUGAUGUGAGGUCAUUAGAAGAGAGGGAGGAGGGGGGGUUUGAUUGUGAUUUCCUAUUGAGGAGUGGUGUUAAUUGAAAUCUAGAUAUAUGAGGCAAAAGUAGGUAAUUUGAAUUAAUAGUUUAGUAAGGAAGUGGAAGAGGACCACAACAAAGUGAGAGAGGAAGGUUUUAAAAGAAUUUAUGAGCUGAUCAGUACCCUGAUUUUAGCGUGGUCAUUUCUUGUUUCUGAUCAAAUCAAAACACCUAUAUCUUGUACGAAGUACAUAUUAAAUAACAAUAAAUAAAUAAGCAUACUUCAAAACCAAUAUUUCAUAUUUGUACUAAAAUUCACAUCAUUUCUGGCAAGAUAAUAAUAUAAUAGCAAGCAGAGUAGGAUUCCUUUUACAUUUUGCUUCACAGGCUACAUAUAUUAACUUAACAAUGUUCAUAUUGUAAACCUGCUGCAGAUUUUUUUCUAUCUGUUGGAUUGGGACUAGGGAGCACAGAUACACCACAAGCUAGACUGCGGAAGAGCAUGAGUAAUGAAAGAACAUUUUCCGCCACCGAGGAUGAAGCUUACUUAUAUAAGAAGCUAGUGUCCUCAACAAUUGGGUGGACGUGAGUGUGGCUACUACGUCAUGCGUUAUAUGUACGAAAUUCUUAAACAUCAUCAUAGUAGUGAGGAUCUUAUUAAGGAUUUUUCAAGAACUACACCGUACACCGAGGAGGAGAUAAAUGAGAUUCGAGAUAUUUGGGCAGAGUAUUUUAUAUGUAAUGUUGAACUUUAGAUUUACACUUAGCGCAUGUUGGACUCUUGUUUUGGAUUAUAGGCUUGAAAUGAAUGAAUUUGGUUAAUUGGUGUUGGGAUGAUGAGUAUAAUGUCUAUGAUAUUGAGAUGUAAAUUAUUGGACAGGUUGUUAAUAUAAUGUCGUCAUUCCCAAUUUUAUGGGUAGGCCAAAUUACGAAGGAGACUCUGCCGAAAUUUACAUUUGCAUUAUUCAAUAAUAUUGCAUUUUAAUUUCAA